CGGGUCCAGCAAAGUGCCAAAGUGUUCGCCAAAGUGGGAGGCGGCCCUCUCGCCCCCCUCCCGUCGGCGGGGAGGGGGAGCCGGACCCCCGCCGGCUGCCCCGCGGCCCCCGGCUCCCCUCGGACUCCUUUCGCCGGCGGAGGCGCGGAGAGAGCGGUGCGGCGGGAUCUUCGGGCAGCGCCGCUCCCCCGCGCCGUCCCCUCCGGCAGCCUCCCCCGAGGGGAACAGCGAUCUCGGCGUCUCCCCGCCCGCCGCCGCCGCCGCCGGCCCCGCUCCGCUCGGCUCCCGGACUGACUCGCGGUCCCCCCCGGCGGGCGGGCGGGUAAGGGAGCGGAGAAGGCACGCCCAGCCGCCGGCGCCGCCGCGCUGCCCCGCUAGAGGGCGAGGCGGCCGUGCGCGGCGCGGCGGGGGCCGGUGAUGGGAGCUCCGUGCUCGCCGCCCCGAGAGCCGCUGCGUUCGGCCCGAAGUUCAGCCCGCCACCUCGGCGCUGUCGGAAGGGCUGCUCGGCGAAAACCGCGAGCGUCAGCACCGACGGAGCGGGAUACGGAGCUGCGAGCGGGCUGCGGGCACCGCGCCGGGCAGAACCGCCUCCGGUUCGGGUACCGCCGUCAAACGUGGGCGACUCUGGCCUCCCGCGGGGCCCCCGGGCCGCCCCGUGCAGCCCCGGCGGUGUGGCGUCACGUAGUGGGGCGUGACGUCAUCAGCACCCGGCGAGGGAAGGGACGUUAAGUCAACAUGGCAGCGCGCACUCCUUGUUUGUCAUCUGCCCCUCGGAGUGCAGCUGCCUGUGUUUUUUGCUGUGGGGAUUUGGCUUCUGUCAGGCUCUGCAAAGACGCGUUUGUUGGUUUAAAACCAAUUCUGUUGAGUUUGGACCUCUGAAAGUGGAAGUACUGCUGUUGGCUAUCGCUUGCAGUGAAAGCUGUCCUUUUCUUUUUCUUGCGGGUGCAGGUGUCAGGCCAGAUUCAUCCCUGGUUAUCCCCUGGGGCUAUGAAUGAAACAGUGAAAACAAGAAUCGAAGUAAUGCCAAAAUGAAGGGUUUGAGCUGACAAACACUCAGGUUCGGGUUCUGCUUUCUCCAGAAUGGGCCCUCUGUUUUUACAGCACUCUCACACAUAGUUACCAGCUUCAGUCUCGUUGCAAUUGAAGCCUUAAGUCCCAUCCCCCCCACAGCAGUGCAACUGAUGACACAUAUUGAAGAUUUGUGCGUGUUUUUGCUUGUGUUUCCAUGCAAUACGUCCACUUCAAAGUUCGGCCUUCAGCUGUACUGCUUCCCACGAUCUUCCAGCCGUCCUGUUGUCACGGUGCCGUGCCAUUGGGUUUUAGCGGUGUGUUUGUGGCGUGAGGACACGAAGGGACGUGAGCUGGGAGAUGUGCGGGGUGCAGGCAGCUGCCUCAGACAGGAACACAAGAGGGCAGGGUAGCAUUAAUUGUUGUGCUUCCUGACGUCAGACUUUUCUUUGCACUGUGAGCAUUUUCUCCAUUUGUUAUCUGCCUGGAACUUCUUAGGCUUCCCUAGUGAAGUUUCCUUAGUACCCGCAAACCUUUAUAGCCUAUGUUGUUGUUUUGGGAUUUUUUUCCAAUAAUAAUCGUCUUCUUUUUUUUCCUCUCGGUACAUAAUUUAAGCAAAUUAUAUGUUCUCUAAAGCUGCAGUUAUAGCAUCUCUAAAUUAGAAACUAGCGAGUCUUGAAAGCGUUACUCGUGUAAUUAGAACACUUUCAAAAAAAACACAUGAAGUCUCAUAAGAAGUUUAACUUACAGUAAAUUUAAUUUUCAAGCAUAUCUGCGUUUGUCACUAAAAAUCCAGAAAUCCGCAGUUAACCAGUGCUCAUGCUAAUGAUGUCUUCUCUCUAGCUUCAUAAUGUCCAGAAACACAUUUUAAAAAUGGAGCUCUAAUCACAGAAUCAUUAAGAUUGUAAAAGACCACUGAGAUCAUCUAGUCCAACCAUCAGGCUGUCACCACCAUGCCAGUGAACCAUGUCCCUCAGAUCACCUAAUGUCAGGCUUAACACGAUGGUAAAAUAUCAUGUUCAGACAUAUAGCCUUAACUCUGACCCUCAUCUUUUUCACAAGGAAAUUGAAGCUCCAUGCCUAUAUCCACUGCUAUCUAAUGUUAGUGUAUGGAAGAUGUGAUAGAAAAUCACCAAGUUCAGUGGAAGAGCAAGUACGAGUGGUCACAGUAAUAGCAGGAGGAGGGCUAAAGUCAGUGAUCUUCAAAGACAUAACCAUUCUGUUUUAAAAACAAUAAAUAAAGGAAAAACGAGUUCUGGGGAAUAGCU
ensembl:lncRNA